CCGGUGUGGGUGUGACGUACCCGGACGAGACGCGCCGUACCCGGAUUCGACAAGACGACGCUCA
rnacentral:ncRNA from 1 species